AUAGCUGACUUCCUGUUGGGUGGAGCCUAUGACAUGCAAUACGAAAGUUGUUCGGCACGAUGAGAUCUAUAUGUGUACUGAGUUUCAUAUGAAUAUGUGCAAGUAUGUGUGAGCUAUACAUCAACAUUUAUGACUGUGUUCCAGGGGGCGCCAUAGAGCCCCUGUGCCACGCCCGGGUCCCAGCCUCUGCAGGCUCCUAAAGGCCACAGAUUCCAAAGUGUGCGCAAAUUUUCAAGAGUUUUUGAGUAUGUUAGGGACCCCAAAAGCCCCCACAACUUUGACCAAAAAUAUGAAUAAUAAACCCUAAAUAGCCAACUUCCUGUUGGGCGGAGCCUAUGACAUGCAGUACGAAAGUUGUUUGGUUUAAUGAGAUCUACAUGUGUACCGAGUUUCAUGUGUCUACGUGCAAGUAUGUAUGAUAUAUGGCCCUCAGUAUUCCAGGGGGCGCUGUAGAGCCCCUGUGCCACGCCCGUGUAUCAGUCUCUGCCCGGCCCUAAUGGCCGCAGGUUCCAAUCUGUGUGCCAAUUUUCAAGAGUUUUCGAGCAUGUUAAGGACCCCAAAAGCCCCCGUAACGUUAGAAAAAAAUAAUAAUAAUAAUAAUAAUAAUAAAAAAUAAUCCUAAGGAAAACAAUAGGGCUCUCGCCCUCCAGGCUUGAGCCCUAAUUAAAGCUGCAAGCAGCGAUGAACGGGCCCUCGCACCCGGGCUCACCGCCAUCGUGUGGCUUUAGUAAAAAGGUGAACGUUGAGAAAUAUGCAUUUAAUGUCCUAAAUAUAAGUGGAAUAUAUCAAAGUAUAUCCCAUAUAUGUGCCAAUCUUACCGUUGCCAGCAGGUGGCGCUAUCGUUAUAAUGGAAUAUUGGCCUUCAGAUGUGUUCAAGCCAGGACCCUUAUCACACAUGUGAAGUUUGGGCAAGAUCGGACAUUUUAUGCCUGAGUUAUAACAUCUUUUAUUCCCAUGGCGAGACAUCGAACUUCGUCAUGGCGACAUGGACAUGCCUUUUAACAAAAACUCAAGAUCUUCACAACUAAACAUCACACAGGUCUUUAGAUUAGACUGACCACAAAAAAGACAUUGAUGUCAUAAAAUUUCUAGGAGUAGUUUGUCACAGUGUAAAAUAUGUCACUUCCAGUUGCCAAUAGGUGGCGCUAUGACUAUAACUGAAUAUUGGCAUGUAGAUCUGUUCAGGUGAAGAGUCUUAUCAAAAAUGUGAAGUUUGGGGCGGAUUGGACAUUGUAUGUGUGAGUUAUAGCACCAUCAUUUUUCAUGGCGAAUCAUGGAAAUUUGUCAGGCCGCCAUGGACACGCCCUUUAACGAAACCUCAAUUCCUUCGCAAUUUAACAUGGCAAAGGGCUUUAGAUUACACUGACCAAGUUUGGUGUUGAUCUGAAUAAAUCUCUAGGAGGAGUUCGUUAAAAUACAACCCCUGAAAAUGACAAAAACAACACCAAUUUUGCAGGGAAAAUUAAAAAUAACCGACUUCCUGUUGGGAUUCGGGUUUCGUACCAAGAGACUUUUUUGUAGCUAUUGGUGUGUUACAUAUGUUUACCGAUUUUCGUACAUGUAUAUGACAUGUAGCUCGAGGCGCACUCCAUUGAAAAUGUAUAGGUGGCGCUAUCGAGCCAUUUUGCCACACCCAAUGGAAUAUUAGCCUCCAGAUGUGUUCAGGUCAGUACUCUUAUCAAACAUUUGAAGUCUGGGCAAGAUCUGAUAUUUUAUGACUGAGUUACAGCAACUUCUACUCCCAUGGCGAGACAUCGAACUUUGACAUGGCGCCAUGGACAUGCCCUUUAACGAAAACUCAAGAUCUUCUCAUUUUAACAUCGUACAGGCCUUUAGAUUAGACUGACGACAAAAAAGACAUUGAUGUCAAAAAUUUCUAGGAGUAGUUUGUCGCAGCUUAAAAUAUGUAACUUCCUGUUGCCAAUAGGUGGCGCUAUGACUAUAACUGAAUAUUGUCGUGUCAAACUGUUCAGGUCAAGAGUCUUAUCCAACAUGUGAAGUUUGGGGCAGAUUGGUCAUUGUAUGUCUGAGUUAUAGCAACUUCCUGUUUCAUGGCGAAUCAUCGAAAUUCGCCAGGCCGCCACACACAGGCCCUUCAACGAAAACUCAAAAGCUUCGCAAUUUAACAUCGCAAAGGACUUUAGAUUAGGCAUACCAAAUUUGGUGUUGAUCUGAAUUAAUCUCUAGGAGGAGUUCGUUAAAAUACAACGCAUGGAAAUGACAAAAGUGACACAAAAUUUGCUCAUAAUAUUUGAAAUAACCGACUUCCUGUUGGGUUUCGGAUUUUGCUCCAAGAGACUUUUUUGUAGGUAUUGGAGAGUUACAUGUGUAUACCGAUUUUCAUACAUGUACAUGAAACGUAGCUCGAGGCGCACACCGUUGAACGUGUAUAGGUGGCGCUGUUGAGCCAUUUUGGCACACCCACUUCUGAAACCCAUAUCAGACGUAAAUUUUCGCCAGUUCUGAGGUGUGUGCAAAGUUUCAUGACUUUUCGAGCAUGUUUAGGCCCUCAAAAAUGCGAUUCAUCUUAGAGAAGAAGAAUAAUAAUAAUAAGAAAUAUAGCUGCAAGCAGCGAUGGCGGGCUCAAGCCACCAAUGCCAUCACCACCCCGGUGGCAUCAGGUAAACUGUGCCCAGCGGGCACAUGCAUUCACAAUAUCCCUCUGGCAGUGAGGUUUUAAAGGAUAGAGGGGAGCGUAGAGGGGAGCGUGCAUUUGCAGUGGCUGGGCCACGACUCUGGAAUACCCUGCCUUUAGAGAUCAGACUGGCCCCUUCCUUGUCUAUUUUUAAAUCUUUGCUAAAAACUUUUUUAUUUUCCUUAGUGUACCUACUACUGUGUUAUGCUACAUUUUGAAAUGGGUGGUUUUAAAUUUUUUGUCUGGUCUAUUUUUAUGUAUGUGUAAUAUUCUUGCUCUUAUGUUAAAGCACUUUGGUCAGCCAGGAGGCUGUUGUAAAUGCGCUAUACAAAUAAAUUGAACUUGAACUUGAACUUGAACUUGAUAUGGCAGUUAAAGGGUUAAUCCGAAUCAUCUAGACUUUAAAAUCACAUUCACAGAACAAUAUAUAUAUAUAUAUAUAUAACUUUAGUAACACUUUACAAUAAGAUUUCAUUUAUAAACAUUAUGUUAACAUGAACAAUAUUUAUAUAGCAUUCAUUCAUGUCAGUUAAUAUUCCAAACUUAAACAUUAAAACAUUGUUUUAUUGUGAUUUUUUUCCAAGCACAUUUUACCAAUUCCAAACCAUAUCAAUCUUAAUAACUACCAUUAUUUUUUAUUUAAUCAUUUAUGAGUGCUAUACAAUAGUCCAGGAAAGCUGGAAGAGAAAAACAGGUCAAGAAGAACUGACAAAAGAAUUGCAAAAGAAUUAGGAAUUAAUGUGAAGAUUAAUUUUUAGUCAAUUCUGCAAGACAGACUUUCAGGAAAGGAGGUGGAAUAAAAAUGAGCUCCUAAAUCUUAAUCCCGGAUUCUGGAAGAUAUAUUCCUCAAACCAUCGGACAAGAGGAGGUGCUGCUGGUCCUUCAC